rnacentral:rRNA from 1 species
ACUCCUACGGGAGGCAGCAGUGGGGAAUAUUGGACAAUGGGCGCAAGCCUGAUCCAGCCAUGCCGCGUGAGUGAUGAAGGCCCUAGGGUUGUAAAGCUCUUUCACCGGUGAAGAUAAUGACGGUAACCGGAGAAGAAGCCCCGGCUAACUUCGUGCCAGCAGCCGCGGUAAUACGAAGGGGGCUAGCGUUGUUCGGAUUUACUGGGCGUAAAGCGCACGUAGGCGGACUAUUAAGUCAGGGGUGAAAUCCCGGGGCUCAACCCCGGAACUGCCUUUGAUACUGGUAGUCUUGAGUUCGAGAGAGGUGGGUGGAAUUCCGAGUGUAGAGGUGAAAUUCGUAGAUAUUCGGAGGAACACCAGUGGCGAAGGCGGCUCACUGGCUCGAUACUGACGCUGAGGUGCGAAAGCUUGGGGAGCAAACAGGAUUAGAUACCCCAGUAGUCCCAUGAU